UUUCAAUCUGAUACCCAACCAACGUAAUUUUUAGUGUCGAGGAUUCAAGGUCAAAUUGUGUUAGGUUUUAAGAACCAGGUGAGACUUUUUGAUCCCUAAUAGAGCACUUCCUUUGAGAAAAAAUGAGAUAAAUUCGAACAAUAUCAAUUAACUGGUUGGAAUUAUGAUAAGCUGACAAAUCUUGUUCAGAGUUGACACUUGCCAGCUAAUGAUUCUAAUGUUGUUAGAAUCCACACAGUAUUACCUGUUAUUGAUAAUACUAAUUUUUUGUUUGAGUCCAUCUUAAGGAACUCAAGACACGAGGCAAUUUAAGUGCCCUGGAACCCCACCCAAGGGUUCAUUGCUCAUAUCCUAUUAUCUCACCAACAUCAUCUGCAAUUUUUUUUCAUUUAAAUCUUUGACUUCUCUUCGGUGUUGGUAGGCAUAGUUUUGCUGAGCUCAAGAGAAGAAUGCCUGUGAUCAUAUCCACUUUGAGUGAUUAUACAUGCUUGAAAUCUAGGGAUCCAUUUCCAAAAAAUGUAGGGCUUUUAUUGGUUUGUGCAAAUCAACACACUGAUACAUGUCCAAAAGGAGUCUCCAAAACAUAAUCGAUUUUCAUCCCUGUUUGCCAUUUCCAGAUAUGAAAUUAGGUGCUUAAAGAGAAGCAUUAAUUCCCUGUAGCUACUCAGUUACCAGUCUGUGCUUCAGUUGCUGGAGUUUUCUAAGCACAAAAUCUGCUACCAGGGAGUAACACCAUUAAUUGGGGGGGCAUCUCAUUCAAUAAUAAUAUUUGUAAAACAGAGCAGUCAUGGAAAUAUGCAACUUUCAAUUAGUGGUUUUAAUUUGUGAUUUAUCUGAAUAUACUAGUAUAAAUAAAAUGUAUUAUGUGUGCCUAUAUAUGUGGAUAAGCUAUUUACAUUUUUAUGUGUAGAAAAUGAAAAAUAUAUAUUGAUUAGCCCUUUUGAGGCUUUUGAACAACUGUUUCAUCUUCCUUCUUUCCUGCAACUGCUUUGAGGAUUUAGAUAAUUCAUACAAGGUAUGACAAAUUCUGUUACUGAAUACAUGUGCACACUUUUGUUGGCUUUAUUCAUGUAUGUACAUAUGCCUGCCUGAAUACAGAAAUUGGCCUUUAAAUGGGAUACGACAAGUUAUUUUUUUUACACAUAAAAAUAGAAAACUGAUCACUCAGACUGUACACACUCACAGAAUGUAUUGACAUACCACGACCAGCUACAGUAUUAUGCACGACAUAUUGUUCACACAUUAGUACAGCAGAGAUACACACAUUUAGAAAAUUAGUAAUUGCUAGUAUAUAUUUUUCUUAUUUUCAGGCUGUGUUGACCUUUUUCAACCUUAAUAAAAGGUAUCUCCAGGGGCCCUUAAAACAAGAAUUAGUCUUUCCUCUCCUCUAGGGAUUGGGGAGUAUGACUAUAAUACUGCAAUCUCCUGAUAUACCAGCAUCAUUUUAAGACACGAUGGAAAACAUUAGGAAAAAUAAGUUACGUAAAGAUGUGAUCUAAAAUAAAUGUUAAGGAAUCUCAACUAAAAUCAUCAAGGAUGCCAAUUAACAUGAGUAAGCCCUUUCUACUCAUUUUAUAUAGUUUGCUCUACACACAGCCUUUACAUGUUAUUAAAAGCAAUGAUAUGAAUCAGAAAAAAAACUGUUUAACUGCUCAAGAGUUUUUCUAAAGAGAGACAAUUUUUAAAGCAACAAAGAACAAUACUAGCAGCAAUGUCAAAAAGCAAGCUAUAAUUUUCACCCCAGAAAUAAAUGAAUGACAUCUCCAUAGUUAAGAGAUCAAGAAAGCUGUUAGCAAUUCUCUCCCAUUUAAUUCUUUCUAACAUCAUUAAAUCACUGGGGUAUCUCAUCAUAAUUAUCACCAUGCAGGUUGAUCAUCAAUAUCCUUUUCUAAAGUGUAAAAUAUGUGAUUUUUAUUCCUACUAUUUUGCAGCCAAUUAAUUUUGAGCUUGAAUCCAGAAAGAUACUUGAUGAAGAGUUAGCAUUUAGAAGUGCCCAUCUGGAGCAUCGUUUUCUGUAAGGCAUCAUUUGAAGCCUCUUUGGAUACAAGAUCUCAUGUUUUAGUGAUUUUACAUCCGGGAGCCCAUUUUUUCACAGCUAAAGCUGGUAAUCCUCUGGGCAGAGUUAACUGAAUUGCUUUCUACAUGCUAGUGUCCAGAAAGAGUAAUUACCAUAAGUUUAAAGUCUCCAUUUCAACAAAACUUCUGGUUGCAGCUGUCUUGAGUUUUAAGCCAGCAAGACUUUGAGUGGCUCCUCUUCCCUCUGGGCUCACAUAAAAACAUAGAUGCCAACUGUAUCCUGACUAAUGCUCAUUAGUGCUGUACCUCUUUAUGAAGCUUCUAAACAAGUUUUUCCAGGAAGAAAGCAGAAACUAUGCCUUUGCUUAUUUUAUCCUGUGGGUUACAGUCAGUCUUCAUAAAGCAAACCAUCAUUAUAUAAUGGUGUGCCCAUAAUAGAUGCAUUUGCUGGUAUAACUGCCUCUUUUUGGCACAUUAUUGCUUGGCUUUAAUUUCAUAUUCAACAGUCUUUAUUCUCAUUAUUAGUAUCUGAGAUAUUUGUGUCUUAAAAAAACUUGCAAAUAACAUCUUGUUGCACCAUUCUGGCCACCACAAGUCAUUUCACCAAGGUCCAAGGUUAUUUGAAUGUUGUUUAUAAUUAUCAUCACGUUUACUUACCUAACAGCCAAAAAUAAUGUUUCAGGAUUGUUUGUUGCUGCUAUCUACACAUAUAUACAGAUGCACUGGAUUUAUUUUGAGAGAGGUUAUUUUGUUGUGGCAAGUGAGUAGUUUAGCUGGUGACUGUUCACAGUUAAAAGUAGCUGUAAUGACCUCUGGCAGAUGUCACUGAUCACUUGGGAGACAGAAUUUUUCCACUUCAAUCCAUCUUCAUUUAUGUCCUUGGUCAUUGCAAACCCAGCUUAUUUGAUUUCUGCAGCCAAGGAGAAUUGUUUUCUUUCCAAGAGUAGGAUAAAGUUCAUGGAAAUCUGUUUCAGUAUUUACAAGACUAUUUUUUUUCCCAUUUGCAAAAAUGUCUAAAAUUUUGUAGACAUCCUUAAGCCCAUGUGUCUGGACAGAUGACAUUUGUAAUUGCUCAGCCAGUUGAAGAAUUUCAUUAAGAAGGAUAUCGUUACAAGGAUGGACAGGAGAUUCAGCAUAUCCUCUGUUAUUUGCCAGGUGGCAGCAGCUGACCCGAAUUUGGAGAGAAUCAACCAAAAAGGGCCACGCACAACAUCAGGAAGCAUUGCUAACAGAAAACAAAAUGCUCAGAUACAUAUGUAAAAUAACAAACACUAAAGGGGAUGUUUGACUUCUGAUUUCACCAUGUACACAAAAACAGAGUGGGAAUAAGGUAGUCGGCUCACUUAUGCAAGAUACUGCUGAGUUCACUGUUCUACCACAAAGGGAAAUUCACAGGCCUCACUUCUCAAACACCACUUAGAACAAAGCAGGAGAGAGUAAACAGCAUCAUCUCCAUGGCAGCAUUACAGAUAAUUAGUAAAUCAGGCAGGUAGAGGUCUACACAAGGCUAC
rnacentral:lncRNA from 1 species